ACCUCGGAUCAGGUACGUAUGCCAAUAUAGCAUAUCAAUAAGCGGAGGA
rnacentral:rRNA from 1 species